GACGAACGCUGGCGGCGUGCUUAACACGUGCAAGUCGAACGGUAAGGCCCUUCGGGGUACACGAGUGGCGAACGGGUGAGUAACACGUGGGUGAUCUACCCUGCACUUCGGGAUAAGCCUGGGAAACUGGGUCUAAUACCGGAUAGGACCAUUUCCUGCAUGGGUGGGGGUGGAAAGCUUUUGCGGUGUGGGAUGGGCCCGCGGCCUAUCAGCUUGUUGGUGGGGUGAUGGCCUCCCAAGGCGACGACGGGUAGCCGGCCUGAGAGGGUGACCGGCCACACUGGGACUGAGAUACGGCCCAGACUCCUACGGGAGGCAGCAGUGGGGAAUAUUGCACAAUGGGCGCAAGCCUGAUGCAGCGACGCCGCGUGAGGGAUGACGGCCUUCGGGUUGUAAACCUCUUUCAGCACCGACGAAGCGCAAGUGACGGUAGGUGCAGAAGAAGGACCGGCCAACUACGUGCCAGCAGCCGCCGUAA
rnacentral:rRNA from 1 species